rnacentral:lncRNA from 1 species
CUGAGUUCCACAGAAGAUUGAACUCUCAACCAUGACAAAUGCGAUGGGGAAAUCUGAGUUGAUGGACUGAAAAUCUUGAAUCUGAAUUCCUUUGAAUCUUCUGAGCCCACAGAAGUAGCCCACUCCUCCCUUUGAAGAUGGAAGUGCAUGUUGUAGAGGAUAAAGUCUGUCCUGCAUGCUGUGCAGUGUCCUGGUGAUACUGGCCCGGACUCACUGAUGCUGUCAUGUCCUCAUGGUCUCUAAGUGAUUUGAUACCUCUGUGUGCUGUCUCACAGUCUCUUGGCCUCACUUCUGACUCCAACUAUGGCUACGGCAAACAGUUCUUGUGGCCUUUGACUCACUAGCAAUAUCUCACCUUAAGCACACACCAGCCAUUUUCAUUUGCUGUCCCAGUCCUUCUCUGACAGCGGAAUGGAACUACAAAUGGAAAGCUGAAGAACACUAUGGCAUUUCUGGCAGUCAAGAUUUGGAAAGUUACACACUAAGAAGCUAUAAUAUGCUUAAGGAUAAUUUCCACCUAAUAAAGAGAACAGAAAUUUUGUUUAUGCAACCAAAUAGAGAGUUACUGUAUAGAGCAUAUAUUUUCUGAAUCAAACAGAACAGAGAAUGACGGCAUUGAGACAUGUAGAAAUACCCUUAUAAUGACAGAGCUGUCAUGUGGAAUCAUGUGUUAUUUCAUGUGUCCAUUCCAUCUGAAUGAGCAAUAAAACCAUCUUGGAAAAGAAUAA